rnacentral:rRNA from 1 species
GUGAGGAAUUUUGCGCAAUGGCCGCAAGGCUGACGCAGCAACGCCGCGUGGGUGAUGAAGGCCUUCGGGUCGUAAAGCCCUGUCAGGUGGGAAGAAAGGCCUUAAGGAGAAAGACUUGAGGUUUGACGGUACCACCAGAGGAAGCACCGGCUAACUCCGUGCCAGCAGCCGCGGUAAUACGGAGGGUGCGAGCGUUAUUCGGAAUUACUGGGCGUAAAGCGCGUGUAGGCGGGGGGACAAGUCUGAUGUGAAAGCCCUGGGCUUAACCUGGGAAGCGCAUUGGAAACUGUUUUUCUUGAGUACUGGAGAGGAAGGGGGAAUUCCCGGUGUAGAGGUGAAAUUCGUAGAGAUCGGGAGGAAUACCAGUGGCGUAGGCGCCCUUCUGGACGGUUACUGACGCUGAGACGCGAAAGCGUGGGGAGCAAACAGGAUUAGAUACCCGUGUAGUCC